UACGUAGGGCGCAAGCGUUGUCCGGAAUUAUUGGGCGUAAAGAGCUCGUAGGCGGCCUGUUACGUCUGCUGUGAAAUCCCGGGGCUUAACCCCGGGCGUGCAGUGGAUACGGGCAGGCUGGAGGCAGGCAGGGGAGAACGGAAUUCCCGGUGUAGCGGUGAAAUGCGCAGAUAUCAGGAGGAACACCAAUGGCGAAGGCAGCUCGCUGGGACGGUACUGACACUGAGACGCGAAAGCGUGGGGAGCAAACAGG
rnacentral:rRNA from 1 species